AUGAAAACUGUAAGACGGACAGAGAGUCUGGAGAACCGUGGAUCAGACGUCGGCCCAGCCAGCCUGGCAGAGAUCAGAGUCCGCCCUGCGAUUGGUGGCUUCCUGCCCAGCAGGAAGUAGUGAACGGCGUUUUAAAGCUGCUGCUGACGUCACAUGGAAGCUGGACCAGAAAUGGCUCUGCUGAAGGAUUGGCUGCUGCUGCUGGGGCUGGUCCCACAAAGUCCAGCUGAUCUUCAGUGUGCAGAGUUUAAGAUUGAUGAACAUGAGAAGUUGGAAAAGUCGGGGACUUUGUGCUCAGCUACCAGAAGUGGUUCAGUGUGGAAAGCUCUAAGAAGCCUUUAAGCAAUUUCCUGCACAAAAUUCAUACAUUGUUUCUGUUUUAUCAAAUAAAUCACAGCAGCAAAUCGACUAAAAGCUUUGUGUUUGUGACAGGGCGACUGGUGCAGGAUAUGUGUUCAAGAACAGGCUGUAUGGCGUUGGUUCCUUCGUUGGAGAUCCACUGUAUGUGUUGACAAAACCAACUGGUUUCCUGGAUGUCUGUGACUACAAGCAGUGGAUAGAUGACACAAUUAAUUAACCAAAAACCCGAGGUUGCUAAAUGUUGCUAAAUGUUCCCAGCACCAUAAAAUGACAAAGUUUAAGCUUUAAUUUUCAGUUGAUUCAUUUUCUGAUUUCCAGCUGAAUUAUUUGGGGAUUUAAGUUAAUCUGCGAUGAUAUCUUAUUUCUCAAUAAGUGAAGCUGCUGUUUGUAAUAAUCAGUAAUAAUAUCCACAGUCACAGGACUGCUGGAGAUAAAUGGCUGUUCUCUGA